AUUUACAUUAAUAAAUUUAUUGUGCAAUUCAGUAUAACUUGAAAUUAUUUUUUUAUUUUUAAUUUUUUUUUUAUAUUUUUAAUAAAAAUAUUUUGUUUUUUAGUAAUAUCUUUGAAUUAAUAUUUUUUUUUGAUAGUAAAUUAUACUGUGAAGGUUAUUUAAUUUUUAAUAAAAAGUAUUUUUAAUUUAUUGUACCUUUUGCAUCAGGGUUUAUUAAAUUAUAAAAAUUAUUUUUUUUUCUCGAAAUUUUAUGAUUUAAAAAUAUUUGAUUUUUUUUGUUUCAAAACAAUUUUUAAAAUAUUUUUAGAAAUUAUAUGUUUUUCAAAUAAGAUUAUAUCUAGUUUUUUAAUAAAUGAAUUUAAUUCAUUUAUAAAAAGUUUUUUUAUAUUUUAUUAUAUAAAAUUUUUUGUAAAAAAUUUUUUGGGGAUAAUCUCAAAUUAUUUUUUAAAAAUUUUGUUUUUUAGAAUUUUUUUUAGGAUUGAAAAUUUCUAUUAUAUUUUGUUAUAAUUAUUAUUUCUUGGGAAUAAUUUUUAUGUUUUUAGUUUAUUAUUGAAAAAAUAAUUUUAAUUUUUAAAAUUAAUUUAUAAUGAUAAAAUUAUUAAUUUUGUUAAUUUUUUUAUAGUAACUCGGCAAAUUUAAUUUUCACCUGUUUAUCAAAAACAUGGUUUUUUGAGUUUUAUAUAAGAUCUAACCUGCCCAUUGAUUAAAAAUAUUAAAAGGCUGCGGUAUUUUAACUGUACGAAGGUAGCAUAAUCAUUUGUCUUUUAAUUGGAGACUAGAAUGAAUGGUUUGAUGAAAAACUGACUUUCUUUAAGAAAUUAUUUUGAAUUUAAUUUUUUAGUUAAAAAGCUAAAAUUUUUUUAUAGGACGAGAAGACCCUAUAGAAAUUUAUUUUUUUUAUAAAAUUAUUUUUUUAGUUUAUAAAUUUUAUUUUUAGAAUAAAGAAUUUUGUUGGGGUGACAUUAAAAUUUAAUUAACUUUUAAUUUUUUUUUUCAUAAAUUAGUGUUUUUUUGAUCCAAAUUUUUUGAUUAUAAGAUUAAUUUACCUUAGGGAUAACAGCGUAAUUUUUUUGGAGAGUUCAUAUCGAUAAAAAAGUUUGCGACCUCGAUGUUGAAUUAAGAUAAGAUUUGGGUGUAGAAUUUCAUUUUCUUGGUCUGUUCGACCAUUAAAUUCUUACAUGAUUUGAGUUCAGACCGGCGUGAGCCAGGUCGGUUUCUAUCCUUAAUUUAUAUAAGU
rnacentral:rRNA from 1 species